rnacentral:rRNA from 1 species
GAUGAACGCUGGCGGCGUGCCUAAUACAUGCAAGUCGAGCGAACAGACGAGGAGCUUGCUCCUCUGACGUUAGCGGCGGACGGGGGAGUAACACGUGGAUAACCUACCUAUAAGACUGGGAUAACUUCGGGAAACCGGAGCUAAUACCGGAUAAUAUAUUGAACCGCAUGGUUCAAUAGUGAAAGACGGUUUUGCUGUCACUUAUAGAUGGAUCCGCGCCGCAUUAGCUAGUUGGUAAGGUAACGGCUUACCAAGGCGACGAUGCGUAGCCGACCUGAGAGGGUGAUCGGCCACACUGGAACUGAGACACGGUCCAGACUCCUACGGGAGGCAGCAGUAGGGAAUCUUCCGCAAUGGGCGAAAGCCUGACGGAGCAACGCCGCGUGAGUGAUGAAGGUCUUCGGAUCGUAAAACUCUGUUAUUAGGGAAGAACAAAUGUGUAAGUAACUAUGCACGUCUUGACGGUACCUAAUCAGAAAGCCACGGCUAACUACGU